rnacentral:lncRNA from 1 species
UGCUGGCAUACAGGUGAGCAGACUAAGUUUUAGAUAAGUUGAUUAAGUAUCAGAUUCAUCGACUAACUUGUGGGAAAAUAGAGCGGCGGGUCUGAACUGAGGUAUUUUUGGUUGGGAUUUAAAAUGAUCUUUUAUAUGAUUUAUUUUUCUACUUUGUAUACAAAUGUUUGAAAACAUAUUAGAAUUAUGGAAUAUAUAUCCGCUAUUAUGAGCAUUGCAAUUAUAUUUUCUGUUUCUCCAUUGCUAGAUGAUU